AUCAAGAACAAAAGUUAGUCCUUAGAAGUUAAAUGAAUAAUAGUGCCCAAGGCACAAGGAUCAUGUCUUCCUUAGAGAAACAGUUGGUCAGCAGGAAUCAGACUACGAGAGCCGGGGAGGGGAUAUAGUCUCUCAUUGGAAUGGAACUUCACAGAGCUGCAGCAGUUAGUAUCAGAUCUCUUCAGUAUCCAACUGCUAGGCAGUAAAAGACUUAAAAACAAACCAACAUGCAUUUCACUAGUGAAGACCACAGAAACCCUUUCUUAGCACUGUACUUUGAAUAGUCUACAGAUGAGAGUUGUGAAUGUGGCUGGGUCAGGAAUUGAAAAAGGUAUUGUAGUUGUUUCCUGUUGGUUGCGCAUUAUAGCACUAUCUGAGAAGGAAGUAUACAAUCAAAAUUUGCAGAGUGGAGAAUAGGAAUUCUAAGCAGAGAUUUGCCAGCAACGAACAAUAAUAAUGCCAUUCUGCUGGUACUUCUAUCUAUUUAUGAAGGGGCAGUAGACUUUUUGGGGCUCUUGUAGACUUUUCUUCAGACAUAAGAAAAACAAACCAACCCAAGAAGCCAGAAAUAACCAGGCUCUACAAAUAAGAAAUCUAAGGAUUCUAUGAGACAGAGAAGAAUAACAAAGCCCUAAUUAAUAAACCAUUAGAUAAAAAGUAUCACUAACUACUGUAAAAUAUUUCCAACCAUGAGCUUUAGGAGUAGAGCCAAGGGGCUAGAGAGAUGGCUCAGUGGUUCAAUUCCCAGCACCCACAUGGCAGCUCACAACUGUCUGUUAACUCCUGUUCAGGGGAUCUCACAUCCUCACACAGACAUACAUACCUGUAGGCAAAAUACCAAUGUCCAUGAAAUAAAAAUAAAUAAAUAAUUAAAAAAUAACAACAGUAACAAAAAGAACAGAGCCAAUAUUUCAACU